GUAUCCUGGCUCAGGAUGAACGCUGGCGGCGUGCUCAACACAUGCAAGUCGAGCGAAGUCACGUUUUUUAGUAACGUACGUUCGGAGGGGAAGGAGGAGGGUGGACGUUAGCGGCGGACGGGUGAGUAACGCGUGGGCAACCUGCCUUACACAGGGGGAUAACAAUUAGAAAUGAUUGCUAAUACCGCAUAAGACCACGGUACUGCAUGGUACAGUGGUAAAAACUGAGGUGGUGUAAGAUGGGCCCGCGUCUGAUUAGGUAGUUGGUGGGGUAGAAGCCUACCAAGCCGACGAUCAGUAGCCGACCUGAGAGGGCGACCGGCCACAUUGGGACUGAGACACGGCCCAAACUCCUACGGGAGGCAGCAGUGGGGAAUAUUGCACAAUGGGGGAAACCCUGAUGCAGCGACGCCGCGUGAGUGAGGAAGUAUUUCGGUAUGUAAAGCUCCAUCAGCAGGGAAGAAAAUGACGGUACCUGACUAAGAAGCCCCGGCUAACUACGUG
rnacentral:rRNA from 1 species